CCAACGGGGACCACACAUCUGGAGGAUGGUGACGGCGCGAGAGGCCGGGAGCUGGGUUCUCUUUACUCAAUCCUGGCUCUUGUCUGGGAACGCUGUCCCAGGCCUGCUGGACCUCGGCCUUCUCCAGCUUGGAGGAGCCCUGUGUGCGCAGAGGACAGAAGUGUGAAGGCUUCCAGCUGACCUCUCUCUCACUUCCAGGCAGCGUCAGCAACCUCACCAGCUCAAGGUCAUCCUCCCACUCCACCACUGCCAGCCUUUCGGCUUCUGCUUUGGCCAAGGCGCCCAGCCGAAUAGAUUCUCUUCAGGUCUCAUUUUCAUCUGCCCGCCCGCUGCACCGUUGAGCGUCCCUCCUGCAACGUCCUCCCUUCCCUUGACUUCCACGACACCCCAUGUUCUUGCUUCUUCUUCCACCUGGCUCUUGCUCGCUAGACACACUUUCCCUGGGAGGUCUCGUAUGUGACCUCCAUGACUUAGUGCACCGUCACCGGAAUGCCACUCCUGCGUGCCCAUCUGCCUUCUAGACCAGCUUUCCUGGGAAUCAACUCCACACCCACCACGCCCGAGAUCAUCUUAGCCCCACAGCGCUUGCUCCUCCUCUAUUCUCUCUUGAGCAAUGAUUCCUAAGCGUCCAGCAUCACCUGAUCUCCCAAGUGAAACCUGAGUGUCAGACUCUCCACGUAAGUUCUUGAGGGCAGGUACCAGGUCUAGGUCUAGCUGGGCCUGUGAAAGUUUGAGUGAACGUCUGUGGAAUGACUGACUUCUUCUCAGGAAGAAAGGCACAUGACCCACGACCAUGCCUUGGAGCACAGGGUAGAGAAUCUUCCAGGCAGUCUGAUUGGUUUAACUGUCUGGCUUCCACUGUAGUCUUCCUCUUCCACAGGUGCAACGGCAGGGGGCUCGCUCCCCGGGUAGCCUGUUCCACUUUCAAAUGGCUCUGGGACUGUCAGUAGCACAGAGGGCUAGGGGGCUUUAGAACCAAACAUAGUUUGGUGUUCUCAUUCCGUUCUGCUAUUUACUUAGCUGUGUGAUCUAGUGCGAGUUACUUUACCUCUCUGUGCUUCAAUUUCCUUACCCGUGCCAUAGGCACAAUAAUCCCUACCCUUUGGGAUCAUGGGGUGAUGGACACAGAGCCACAACAUCUGAGAUGCCACAGUAAAUACAAAUUUCCAUUCCCCUUAUCCCUGGCCAGUGACAGAUAUCAGUACACAAAACCCCAGCACCUCAGGCAGCUGCCACCAAUCAGUAAGACAUGCCAUGAAAAACGGACCUUAUCUGCCGCCUGCAUGGUACUUCCUCUAGCACAAUCGGGAAUGUCACACACCUGUUUCUCAAAGGCAGUGGGGACCAAGCGUCGCAGUUCAGAAAGGCUGCUGUUGAUGCGGUCCCGGCGCCGUUUCUCUAUAAUCUAAAAAACAACGACAAGAAUUUACUUGCAGCCACUUCACCAGUUUCCAACGUGCUUUGAUGGCCACUGACUCAUAUUUAAAAUAUUGUGAAGGAGAGAAGUCUAGUCUUACUUUAUGUAGGAGGAAACUGAGGCUCGGAGAGGAGCAGUGACUUGCCUAAGGUCACAUAAGAAGGAAGUGCAAAGCUGGGAGUAGAACUCAGAUCUCUUGUCUUGGUCUGUUGGGGUGCUAUUCAAAAUGCUUAACCACUGUACAUCAGGGUACCGACCAGUCAGAACAGGGACACCAGCCCCCGCGUGGGAGCAGUUCCUGGAGGUUCCUGCAGGUCGAGGUCACCUCCUCAGUUGCUGGGUCAUGAAGAGGCUUUGCUUCCAGUCCAGAAGACCUUCCAUUCACACUCAUUCUCACCUCACCAGACUGGUAGCAGAAUGCUGACAGCGGGGCAGACAUUAUGACCCCCAUUUUACAGAUAAAGAUGAGGGCUGGAAGGAAGUGGUUUGCCUAAGUGAGUGGCAGGGCUGGUCUCUGCCACAUUCCAGGUCUUGGGACUCCCAGGGCAGAAGCAUAGCCGCAUCCUGGGAGAGAAGGGGGUGCCGGGAUAAGACGGCCAAUAGCAAGCCGGGGAGCUUCCUUCUCUAUCCCCCUGCCCUACCCCUUGGCACACAGAGAGGAAAUGAAAAUUCUGGGCUCAGAGAGUAGAGACAGAAGGCUGGAAUAAAUAAUAAAGCCUAAUUGUGUGUCA